rnacentral:rRNA from 1 species
UACGAAGGGGGCUAGCGUUGUUCGGAAUUACUGGGCGUAAAGCGCGCGCAGGCGGUCUUCCAAGUCAGUGGUGAAAGCCCGGAGCUCAACUCCGGAACUGCCAUUGAAACUGUGAGACUUGAGGAUGAGAGAGGUGAGUGGAAUUCCCAGUGUAGAGGUGAAAUUCGUAGAUAUUGGGAAGAACACCAGUGGCGAAGGCGGCUCACUGGCCCGAUACUGACGCUGAGGCGCGAAAGCGUGGGGAGCGAACCGG